GGUGAUGGUCCAGUGGUUUAGGGCGUUUGCUCGCUACCUAAGAGGUCCGAGGUUCGAAUCCUCGUCAUCACCG
rnacentral:tRNA from 1 species